rnacentral:rRNA from 1 species
AUUGAACGCUGGCGGCAGGCCUAACACAUGCAAGUCGAGCGGGUGAAGGGAGCUUGCUCCUGGAUUCAGCGGCGGACGGGUGAGUAAUGCCUAGGAAUCUGCCUGGUAGUGGGGGAUAAUGUCCGGAAACGGGCGCUAAUACCGCAUACGUCCUGAGGGAGAAAGUGGGGGGUCUUCGGACCUCACGCUAUCAGAUGAGCCUAGGUCGGAUUAGCUAGUUGGUGGGGUAAAGGCCUACCAAGGCGACGAUCCGUAACUGGUCUGAGAGGAUGAUCAGUCACACUGGAACUGAGACACGGCCCAGACUCCUACGGGAGGCAGCAGUGGGGAAUAUUGGACAAUGGGCGAAAGCCUGAUCCAGCCAUGCCGCGUGUGUGAAGAAGGUCUUCGGAUUGUAAAGCACUUUAAGUUGGGAGGAAGGGCAGUAAGUUAAUACCUUGCUGUUUUGACGUUACCAACAGAAUAAGCACCGGCUAACUUCGUG